rnacentral:rRNA from 1 species
CCCUUAGAUGUUCUGGGCCGCACGCGUGCUACACUGAGUGGAUCAGCGGGUCAGGUUGCGCGAAAGUGUUUCCUAAUCUUGAAAUCCGCUCGUGAUGGGGAUUGGCGGUUGCAAUUUUCCGUCAUGAACGAGGAAUACCUUGUAAGCGCGGGUCAUCAUCCCGCGCUGAAUACGUCCCUGCCCUUUGUACGCACCGCCCGUCGCUCCUACCGAUUGAGUGGUCCGGUGAGGCUUUGGGAUCUGAGCGGAAAGAGCGUUUCGCUGUUUCUGCUCGGAAAACUCAGUCGAACCUUAUCAUUUAGAGGAAGGAGAAGUCGUAACA